rnacentral:rRNA from 1 species
AUUAGGGUUUGAUCCUGGCUCAGAACGAACGUUAGCGGUGUGGAUUAGGCAUGCAAGUCGCGCGAGAAAGCCUUCGGGUGAGUAUAGCGGCGAACGGGUGAGUAACACGUAACCAACGUGCCCCUUAGAUCGGGAUAGCUACUGGAAACGGUGGGUAAUACCGAAUGGUCCCCUGGAUGGCAUCAUCCGGCGGGUAAACGGCGGCUUCGGCUGUUGCUAGGGGAGCGGGUUGCGGCCUAUCAGCUUGUUGGUGGGGUAAUGGCCUACCAAGGCAACGACGGGUAGCGGGUCUGAGAGGAUGAUCCGUCACACUGGGACUGAGACACUGCCCAGACUCCUACGGGAGGCUGCAGUCGAGAAUCUUCCGCAAUGGGCGAAAGCCUGACGGAGCGACACCGCGUGUAGGAUGAAGGCUCUCGGGUUGUAAACUACUGUCACGCCAUAGGAAUGGUUUGUCGUUAAUAGCGGCAAGCUUGACCACAGCGAGAGGAAGUGCCGGCUAACUCCGUGCCAGCAGCCGCGGUAAGACGGAGGGCACAAACGUUGUUCGGAAUCACUGGGCAUAAAGCGCACGCAGGCGGCUUGUUAAGUCAGAUGUGAAAGCCCUCGGCUCAACCGAGGAACUGCAUCUGAAACUGGCAAGCUCGAGGACGACAGGGGUGAGUGGAACUCCAGGUGGAACGGUGAAAUGUGUAGAUAUCUGGAGGAACACCGGUGGCGAAAGCGGCUCACUGGGUCGUCUCUGACGCUGAGGUGCGAAAGCUAGGGUAGCAAACGGGAUUAGAUACCCCGGUAGUCCUAGCCGUAAACGAUGGGCACUAGGCAAUGGUUCCUAUGAGGUUCACUGCCGUAGCAAAUGUGUUAAGUGCCCCGCCUGGGGAGUACGCUCGCAAGGGUAAAACUCAAAGGAAUUGACGGGGGAUCACACAAGCGGUGGAGCAUGUGGUUUAAUUCGAAUCAACGCGAAGAACCUUACCCUGGGCUUGACAUGCUUGGAUGCCCAUCUGGAAACAGAGUAGGUUGCCCUUCGGGGUGAAACUUGCACAGGUGCUGCAUGGCUGUCGUCAGCUCGUGUCGUGAGAUGUUGGGUUAAGUCCCGUAACGAGCGAAACCCUUAUCGUUAGUUGCCAGCGCGUAAUGGCGGGGACUCUAGCGAGACUGCCGGUGUUAAACCGUAGGAAGGUGGGGAUGACGUCAAGUCCUCAUGGCCUUUAUGCCCAGGGCUGCAAACGUGCUACAAUGGCUGGUACAAACCGACGCGAGACCGCGAGGUGGAGCAAAUCGGAAAAAGCCAGCCCCAGUUCGGAUUGGAGUCUGCAACUCGACUCCAUGAAGUUGGAAUCGCUAGUAAUCGCAGAUCAGCCACGCUGCGGUGAAUGUGUUCCUGAGCCUUGUACACACUGCCCGU